GGCUCCUUGGUCAAGUGGUUAAGACACCACCCUUUCACGGUGGUAACAGGGGUUCGAGUCCCCUAGGAGUCA
rnacentral:tRNA from 2 species